AAAGGUAAUUGUGGUUUCUGC
rnacentral:miRNA from 1 species